rnacentral:rRNA from 1 species
AAUUACUGGGUGUAAAGGGUACGUAGACGGCAUAUUAAGUCAAUUGUUAAAUUCCCCAGCUUAACUGGGGGUAGGCGGUUGAAACUAAUAAGCUAGAGGAUGAGAGAGAGAAGUGGAAUUCUCGAGAGUAGCGGUAAAAUGCGUAGAUCUCGAGAGGAACACCGAUGGCGAAGGCAGCUUCUUGGCUCAUUUCUGACGUUGAGGUACGAAAGCGUGGGGAGCAAACAGGAUUAGAUACCCUGGUAGUCCACGCUGUAAACGAUGAUCACUAGACGUUAGGCUUGCUUGCAGGCUUAGUGUCGCAGCUAACGCGAUAAGUGAUCCACCUGGGGACUACGGUCGCAAGAUUAAAACUCAAAGGAAUUGACGGGGGUCCGCACAAGCGGUGGAACAUGUGGUUUAAUUCGUCACUACGCGAGAAACCUUACCUAGGCUUGACAUGCUUUUGACUGCUGCAGAAACGUAGCUUUCUAGACUUCGGUUUAGACAAUUGCACAGGUGCUGCAUGGCUGUCGUCGGCUCGUGUCGUGAGAUGUUUGGUUAAGUCCUCUAACGAGCGCAACUCCUACCGUUAGUUGCUAUUCCGUAAGGAAGCACUCUAGCGGGACUGCCUGGGAAACCAGGAGGAAGGUGGGAACGACGUCAAGUCAUCAUGGUCCUUAUGCCUAGGGCUACACACGUGUUACAAUGGUCGGUACAGAGAGUUGCAAACUAGUAAUAGUAAGCUAAUCUCUUAAAGCCGAUCUAAGUUCGGAUUGAGGUCUGCAACUCGACCUCAUGAAGUUGAAUCGCUAGCAAUCGCGCAUCAGAAC